CCAUGUAACAUUGACACUUUCGAUUGUCUCAACGGAAACUGGAGUAAGCUUCGUCAGCACGGAUUUCAUAUCGUUUGACUGCACCCAUCUUAAAUAUUGUUCAUCUUGUGUAACAAGUCCCUGGCCAUGUGACUGGUGUGUUUAUGACAACAUGUGUACACGUGAUAGCAGCUCAUGUCAGCCGGGAGAUACAGUGGUGAUUAAUGAAAAUAACACCGUAGGUUCUGGAAACAAAGGCCGGGGUUAUUGCCCUCAGCUGGUGGCGACAUCAGAACGGAUUUUUAUCCCAGUUAAUAUUCCCUCUAGUUACUCACUUCUGGCAAAAAAUCUCCCUACA